rnacentral:rRNA from 1 species
AUUGAACGCUGGCGGCAGGCCUAACACAUGCAAGUCGAACGGUAGCACAGAGAGCUUGCUCUCGGGUGACGAGUGGCGGACGGGUGAGUAAUGUCUGGGAAACUGCCCGAUGGAGGGGGAUAACUACUGGAAACGGUAGCUAAUACCGCAUAACGUCGCAAGACCAAAGUGGGGGACCUUCGGGCCUCACACCAUCGGAUGUGCCCAGAUGGGAUUAGCUAGUAGGUGGGGUAAUGGCUCACCUAGGCGACGAUCCCUAGCUGGUCUGAGAGGAAGAGACGGCACACGGGAACCCAUACCCGGGCCAGACUCCUGCGGGAGGCAGGAGUGGGGAAUAUUGCACAAUGGGCGCAAGCCUAAUGCAGCCAUGGCGCGUGUAGGAAGAAGGCCUUCGGGUUGUAAAGUACUUUCAGCGGGGAGGAAGGCGGUGAAGUUAAUAACUUCACCGAUUGACGUUACCCGCAGAAGAAGCACCGGCUAACUCCGUGCCAGCCGCCGCGGUAA